rnacentral:rRNA from 1 species
AUUGAACGCUGGCGGCAUGCCUUACACAUGCAAGUCGAACGGCAGCACGGGGGCAACCCUGGUGGCGAGUGGCGAACGGGUGAGUAAUGCAUCGGAACGUGUCCUCUUGUGGGGGAUAAGCCAGUCGAAAGAUUGGCUAAUACCGCAUGAGAUCGAAAGAUGAAAGCGGGGAGCCGCAAGGCCUCGCGCGAGAGGAGCGGCCGAUGCCGGAUUAGCUAGUUGGUGGGGUAAUGGCCCCACCAAGGCGACGAUCCGUAGCUGGUCUGAGAGGACGACCCAGCCACACUGGGGAACCUGAGACACGGGCCCCAGACUCCUACGGGAGGCAGCAGUGGGGAAUUUUGGGACAAUGGGCGCAAGCCUGAUCCAGCCAUGCCGCGUGUGUGAAGAAGGCCUCGGGUUGUAAAGCACUUUCGGACGGAACGAAAUCGCGUGCAUGAACAAUGGCGCGUGGAUGACGGUACCGUAAGAAGAAGCACCGGCUAACUACGUGCCAGCAGCCGCGGUAAUACGUAGGGUGCAAGCGUUAAUCGGAAUUACUGGGCG